UACGAAGGGUGCAAGCGUUAAUCGGAAUUACUGGGCGUAAAGGGUGCGUAGGCGGUUAGUUAAGUCUGUUGUGAAAUCCCCGGGCUCAACCUGGGAACUGCGUUUGGUACUGGCAAGCUAGAGUACGGCAGAGGGGGGUGGAAUUCCACGUGUAGCAGUGAAAUGCGUAGAGAUGUGGAGGAACACCGAUGGCGAAGGCAGCCCCCUGGGCCGAUACUGACGCUCAGGCACGAAAGCGUGGGGAGCAAACAGG
rnacentral:rRNA from 1 species